rnacentral:lncRNA from 1 species
UUAAAUGAAGUGUUACAACUUUUGACUCUUCAUGAAUAGUCACAUGCUUUUCAAAGAGGUAUCUCACAUUCUAUAAAUAGAGAAGCCCCUAUAAUCACUUAAAAUAACUUUCAUUCUUUAUAGAAUCAUACAUAGAGUGCAUUAAAUAUUAGAGAGUCUUAUAGAGUCCACAUGAGAGAGUUUUCAACACCAUCAUGGUUUAUGAAGCCUUGUGAUUUGAAGUGCUACUAUUACAAGGACGUGGUUGUUGUAUCUUGGGAAACAUGCGCCGAUCAACCAUGAGCACCGUAGUGGAGCGUAAACUUGUCUUAAGGACAAAGUGUCCAACACUUGC